GGGGGCGAACUGGUUUCGACCGGGCUUACGGAAGUGCAAGCUGCGUGCCGUGGUUAAUCGGAAGGCCACGCAAAAAUCCGAUUACAACUCAACUGCUGAACCGCAGUUUUCUAUGGCUGUCUAAUAAUACGAUAGCCGCGUGUCCGGGAGCUUAACCUGAGAGGUUCCGGCGCGCUCGUUAAAUCAGGAUCGCAGGGGUUAGAAGCCGCGCAAGCGGUUGCACCGGUGGCAAUCCCCGCUAAACCUUACAACCGGUUAGUCCGCAGUGCCUUUGUUUGUUGAAGCCACGCGGAUGAACAGGGCGGAGUAAGACCGCCAGAUCGACGAGCUACGCACGUAGAUGCCUGCAUGGAAGGGCUUCGGGACGCGGGUUCGAUUCCCGCCGCCUCCACUU
rnacentral:tmRNA from 1 species